rnacentral:rRNA from 1 species
AUUGAACGCUAACGGUAUGCUUAACACAUGCAAGUCGAACGGCAGCACAGCAGUAGCAAUACUGUGGGUGGCGAGUGGCGGACGGGUGAGUAAUGUAUAGGAAUCUGCCUUGUAGUGGGGGAUAACCUGGGGAAACUCGGGCUAAUACCGCAUAAUCUCUACGGAGCAAAGCGGGGGACCGAAAGGCCUUGCGCUAUAAGAUGAGCCUAUAUUGGAUUAGCUAGUUGGUGGGGUAAAGGCCUACCAAGGCGACGAUCCAUAGCUGGUCUGAGAGGAUGAUCAGCCACACUGGGACUGAGACACGGCCCAGACUCCUACGGGAGGCAGCAGUGGGGAAUAUUGGACAAUGGGGGAAACCCUGAUCCAGCAAUACCGUGUGUGUGAAGAAGGCCUUAGGGUUGUAAAGCACUUUUAGUGGGAAAGAAAAGCUUGAAACUAAUACUUUCGUAGCCGUGACGUUACCCUACCAGAAAAGACACUGGCUAACUCUGUG